CUAUUAUCAAGAGUCAGUUCAGGUUACUUUAUUGGUCCCCGUGGGUAAACUAGGUUUACAAUCUAAGAGGCAGGACAUCCUUAAAACUUUGUAGACCACCAGAUAACAUGCAACACA